rnacentral:tRNA from 1 species
GGUCCGUUCGUCUAGGGGUUAGGACACCAGAUUUUCAUUCUGGUAACACGGGUUCGAUUCCCGUACAGACUA